CCUUGUUGAAUAAAUGUUUUGAUUUAAAAAUUUUUUUUAAAAGAUUUAAGUUUAAGAAAAAAGAUUGUUAAAUGGUCAAUUAAUGUAGCACAUAAAAACAGAUUUACAAACCAACUGCAUCGAUGCAAAGUGAGAGAUGAGAUUUGUCAAAGAUUAAAAAUCAAGCGCCAUAAAAUGGAUGAAAAAGAAAAAAGAAAGUUAGAGCGUGAUAUCCAAAUUGAGUUUUAACGAAAUUAUUAAUUCAUGCAAGCGCUUGUCCAAUGACCAACUAUUUGAUUUAGAAGAUGUCAUGUCAGAUAGAAUUGUUUGGAAGAAACUAGAACAUGAAUGGUACGAUCCAAAAACAUACAAAAGUGUUUUAUAUAGCGAAAGAGUAGAAAAAGUUAAUAAAAGAAAAAAUAACUUUAUUUACACCAUUUCUUACUGGAAAGAUGAUGAAACUGGUAUUGGAGCUGUUAACUAUUGCAUGAAAAAGAUCCAGCUUGCUGCUGAUGUUGUUUCCAGUGAGUUACAAUUUAAUUAAUUUAAUAACACUGCAAGUGUUGUGACUUGUCAAAAAUAUGUUGCAAGUGUUGUGACUUUCAUAAAUAAUGUUUAUUUUGAAACAGGAAAUUUGUUUAUUAACCGAAGAAAAUGGUUAGCUCGUUAACCAUACUGUAUGGUUCUGUUAAUGUGAGAAUCACAUGAAAGACAAUAAUAUAGGUGAAACAGUUAUCAUUAAUUGGUGGUAAAAAUCUAGCUGAUACAAUUAAAAAUAUUUUGCUCUUAAGCUGCUUUUAAGUCAAAUAAAAACUUAAC